UACGAAGGGGGCUAGCGUUGUUCGGAAUUACUGGGCGUAAAGCGCGCGCAGGCGGUCUUCCAAGUCAGUGGUGAAAGCCCGGAGCUCAACUCCGGAACUGCCAUUGAAACUGUAAGACUUGAGGAUGAGAGAGGUGAGUGGAAUUCCCAGUGUAGAGGUGAAAUUCGUAGAUAUUGGGAAGAACACCGGUGGCGAAGGCGGCUCACUGGCUCAUUACUGACGCUCAGGGACGAAAGCCAGGGGAGCAAACGGG
rnacentral:rRNA from 1 species